rnacentral:rRNA from 1 species
AUUGAACGCUGGCGGCGUGCUUAACACAUGCAAGUCGAGCGGUAAGGCCCUUUCGGGGGUACGACGAGCGGCGAACGGGUGAGUAACACGUGGGUGACCUGCCCUCAGCUCUGGGAUAAGCCUGGGAAACCGGGUACUAAUACUGGAUAUGACUCCAUGACGCAUGUUGUGGGGUGGAAAGCCUUGUGCGGCUGAGGAUGGGCCCGCGGCCUAUCAGCUUGUUGGUGGGGNGAUGGCCUACCAAGGCGACGACGGGUAGCCGGCCUGAGAGGGCGACCGGCCACACUGGGACUGAGACACGGCCCAGACUCCUACGGGAGGGCAGCAGGUGGGGGAAUUUUUGGACAAUGGGCGGCAAGCCUGAUCCAGCCAUGCCGCGUGCGGGAAGAA